CUCGGAUUGUAAACUCCUGUUAAGUGGGAAGAAAGACUUAUACCUAAUACGUAUGAGGGAUGACGGUACCACUAGAGAAAGCACCGGCAAACUUCGUGC
rnacentral:rRNA from 1 species